rnacentral:rRNA from 1 species
UGGUGGAGCGAUUUGUCUGGUUAAUUCCGAUAACGAACGAGACUCUGGCCUAUUAAAUAGUUCGCCGAUUCCGAUCUGUCGGCGUUAACUUCUUAGAGGGACAAGAGGCUUUUAGCCACGCGAGAUUGAGCAAUAACA